GAUGAACGCUGGCGGCGUGCUUAACACAUGCAAGUCGAACGGUAAGGCCCAGCUUUCUGGGUGUGUUCGAGUCGAACAGGGGAGUGACACAUGAGUAUAAUCCGCUCAUCACUUGGGGAUAACUUCAGGAAACGGGGUCUAACACGGGAGAGGAGUUCCCGGUGCAGGGGGGGUUGUGGAAAGUUUCGGCGGUUGGGGAUGGACUCGCGGCUUAUCAGCUUGUUGGUGGGGUAGUGGCUUACCAAGGCUUUGACGGGUAGCCGGCCUGAGAGGGUGACCGGCCACACUGGGACUGAGAUACGGCCCAGACUCCUACGGGAGGCAGCAGUGGGGAAUAUUGCACAAUGGGCGCAAGCCUGAUGCAGCGACGCCGCGUGCGGGAUGACGGCCUUCGGGUUGUAAACCGCUUUCGGCAGUGACGAAGCGUAAGUGACGGUAACGGGUGAAGAAGCACCGGCUAACUACGUG
rnacentral:rRNA from 1 species